rnacentral:lncRNA from 1 species
UUUGUAAUUAAGUUAGGUUAGGGAUUUUAAUUAAAAUAUGUUAGGGUUAGGGUUUUCAUGUAAAAUAGGUUAGGGUUAGGGUUUUUAAUUAAAUUAAGUUAGGUUAGGGUUUUUAAUUAAGUUAGGUUAGGGAUUUUAAUUAAAAUAUGUUAGGGUUAGGGUUUUCAUGUAAAAUAGGUUAGGGUUAUGGUUUUUAAUUAAAUUAAGUUAGGUUAGGGUUUUUAAUUAAGUUAGGUUAGGGAUUUUAAUUAAAAUAUGUUAGGGUUAGGGUUUUCAUGUAAAAUAGGUUAGGGUUAGGGUUUUUAAUUAAAUUAAAUUAGGUUAGGGUUUUUAAUUAAAUUAAAUUAGGUUAGGGUUUUAAUUAAGUUAAGUUAGGGUUUUUAAUUAAAUUAAGUUAGGUUAGGGUUUUUAAUUAAAUUAGGUUAGGGUUUUUAAUUAAGUUAAGUUAGGGUUUUUAAUUAAAUUAGGUUAGGGUUAGGGUUUUUAAUCAAAUAAUGUCAAAAUAACUCAGAAAUUUUUUUAUGUGUAUUACAUCGUCAUAAACUUCUAUUUCAUUACAUCAAAGGAUAAAAUUUAAUACGGUAAUCAAUGUCUAUGACCGGGGGAUUCGGUUCCACAUGGCGGCCGUUGACGGUUACGCGCUAGAUUCCUCCUUCCUCUAGCUUCCGGCGGCGGUUGUUCUUCUUCGGGUGGUGAUUGUUGUUCUUCCGGUUCGGCAUCUGCUUGUCGGACUUGGGACGAUGAUCCACCUUCAAAGAAUAGUGUAUGUGGAGGUGUUUGCAUCAUGAACGGCGACGGAGUUUGAAAGCCAUGCGUUGCUGGCUAUUGGUAAAAAUGAGAGCUCCCCGACGGCCCCCCUUGGGACCGCUCCUGCGCCAAUGGCCUAGUUAUCGGUGGUCCGCUCGGCAUUACAGGAAAUGGAGCUGAUCCGGGCAUUUGGCUCCAACCUGCCAUAGGAUUCAGAAAAGGAUACAUGUACGGGUUAGGGUACGUACGGGUUAGGGUACAUAUAAGGGCUAGGAAACAUACCUGGCAUCAUAGGGAAAGGUGAAUGCGUGGGUAUCAUCUGUUGAAUUGCUGCGUCAGGUGACUGCGUCGGUGCUCUCGUUGGGGACGGUGAUUGCAUGGCCGCUGAUGAUGAACCGGGUGAAUGUCUGGGCCUCGUUGAGGGGCUGCCCUCGUAGUCUUGUCCCCUUGGAUUUAGAGGCCCUCGCCUUUCCCUUCCGACACGUAUUUGCCGCUGCCUCUCCUCCAGUGUAAGUAAAUACGGCUUCCCAUGGGCCCUAAACCAUGGCAUGUAUUCUGGAACGCACGCUAACUCGGGAACGAUGAUUGGUUCCCGAGUAGGUAGAUAUUCAUUCCGAUUUACCACAUUUCCAUGUACACUAACCAGUAUCUAGGACAAUCCGUACCUAAUAGCCGAAGGUCGAUUUUGUGGUGCUCGUCAAACUCCUCAGGGUCCGCAAGGAUCGGUUGUCUACAUCCAAACUGUCGUAGGACUCUAUCUGUCUGGUGGGGCUCUACGGUUGCAUAGUUGAUCAACACCACUUUCACGUGCCAAGCGUUCGGAUUUUGUAAAAACUCUUCCGAGAUUACUGCCCGGACUGCCGGAUCCUCGUAUGGUGUCCA